AGAAUCAACGCUGGCGGCGUGCCUCAGACAUGCAAGUCGAACGCGAAAGUCCCCUUCGGGGGCGAGUAGAGUGGCGCACGGGUGAGUAACACGUAGGUAAUCUACCUUUGGAUGGGGAAUAACAACCGGAAACGGUUGCUAAUACCGCAUAAUGCAGCGGCACCUAAUGGUGACAGUUGUUAAAGCGGGGGGUCGAAAGACCUCGCGUCUGAAGAGGAGCCUGCGGCGGAUUAGCUAGUUGGAAGUAAUGGCUUACCAAGGCUACGAUCC
rnacentral:rRNA from 1 species